UGUGUGCAGGUGAGUGUGUAAUGGGAGUCAGUGUGCGUGUGUGUGUAUAUGCGGCUGUGUGUGCCUCCCCGCGGGCCGUGUCCCAGAGGCCCUGGCUGUGUCUGCAGCUGUGCCUCCGGUGUUCGUGUCCCAGGAGGACACCUUGCCCUCCUCAGCUAUGGGGCUCUGCCUGCACGUCCCUGCCACCCUGACCCUGACCCCCGACCGGGGGGGGGGGCGGUGUGAGGCUCCCCCGUGCCUCUGACGGUGACCCUGGCCACGGAACCCCGCGUGCGGCUUCGGGAGGUCUUGGGCCGAGCGGGCGUAAGUCUGGGCCGAGGCCGGGGGAGCGGCGGCGUUGGAGGUGGCGGUUGUGUAACCGCGAGGCUGUGGGCGAAGGGACGGCGGUGCCGGUGUGGGGGGAGAGGGGGCGGCGAGGAGCGGGCGGGGAAGAGCUGCUCAGGGCUGUGCCAGCCGUGACCCAAAUAGCUCAGAACACAGCACGCAUCCCCUCCCCGCUUCUCUGGGACCCCCUCCACGCCCCUUGAGAUCUCCAAUCCCAGCCCCCUUUUCCCAGCAGCAACCCAGGACAGAGCCCAGGGACUCAAGCCCCACCCGCGAGGCUAGGACCCGUCCUGGGGCCCCAUCAGGACUCCCAGCCCCCUCACCGGUCCUCAGCUCGGCCAAGCCUUUCUCCUCAUUAAUCUCAAAGUCAAGGACUUGAAUUAAACUGGGUCAGGGGACAGCUCUUUCGCCCAUUGAAGCUGCCCGGAGCCGGGCCCCUUCCCCAGAGACCCCGGCUUCUGUGAGGUUCCCAGGCCGGCCCCACCCUCGGGACCCGGCUCUGCCAGCCCGUGGCUCCCCAAACCCAGCCUCGUCUCGGCCUUCGCCCCUGCAGCUCCUGACCGCCCCUGCUUACUUGGGACCGGCUGGAAGCUUCCUCUUCCAGCGCCCCUUCGUUUUCCAGCCCUGGUCCUUAGCCCCCGGAGCCCCCUUCCCCAUCUCAGACUCUCAGUCCCAUCUCAGCACCCCAGAACGGUUUUCCUCUCCACCGCUAUCAGGUCCGCUGUCUCCUGGGUCCCACUUUAACUGGGACAUAUUUUACUUGCUCAGAUCCUAUGGGGCCAGGUCAUCUUUUAGGGCAGAGAGAGUGGACUACUCUCCCGACGACCCUGGAGGCUGGCUCCCCAGGCAGGUAUCACACACCCGGGAAUCCGGGCCCCCCUCCCCUCCUCUCCAGGAACUCAGGUGUCCAGGCCCCCCGCCUUCCCUUAUUUAGAGAGCUCCAGGUCUGGACCCCCCGCGCGCGUCCCAGGAGAACCUCCAGGUGCCCGCGCUGCUGGCGUCGGCGGCAUCCGGAGAGCGGGGCCGCACCGCGGUUGGAAACAGCCCUCCCUGUGGGUACGAGGCCACUCAUACUGAGAUUUCACCCUGGAACGUAACGAUCCCUUCACCUUCACGGAGAACCUUCCUGUCUGUGUAAAGGUCGCCGUACCCCAGGUCUUCAGUAUCCUCUAGUUCCGGCUGGAGUCAUGUUCACCAUUUCCAACCAGGUGGUCCACAUGGGGCUUGGGGAUGAAGCAGAUCCUCAGAUGAGCAGUCAGAGAUGUAUUAACUGACUCC